rnacentral:rRNA from 1 species
CCCUUCGACGUCCUGGGCCGCACGCGCGUUACACUGAUGCAUUCAACGAGCUUAUAACCUUGGCCGAGAGGCCUGGGCAAUCUUGUUAACGUGCAUCGUGAUAGGGAUAGAUUAUUGAAAUUAUUAAUCUUGAACGAGGAAUUCCUAGUAAACGCAGAUCAUCAAUCUGCAUUGAUUACGUCCCUGCCCUUUGUACACACCGCCCGUCGCACCUACCGAUUGGAUGGUCCGGUGAAGCCUCGGGAUUGUGGUUCUUGCCGCUUUAUUGUGGCGUGACCGCGAGAACUUGUCUAAACCUUAUCAUCUAGAGGAAGGUGAAGUCGUAACA